rnacentral:lncRNA from 1 species
UUCCUGUCUCAUUGGCCAAACUAUUUUAUUUAACAAUCAAUAAGAAAACAUACACAGUACAUUCCCCAUCAGAUGAUAAUUGAGUGCAGUAUCUGUGGAAGCCAGAAGAGGAUGGUGGAUUCCUUUGAACUGGAGUUAUGGAUGUUUAUAAGCCCUCAUGUACAUGCUGGGAAUUGAAACUGGGUCCUCAGGAGAACAAAGGACUUCUACAGGCAGUGUGGAGUUGUUUCAAAGUGCUCUCACAGAAGAUGAAGGCUGUUCCUGAUAUCCAGAAGGCUCCUUGUGUCAGCUCUUCAGAGGCAAGUUUGCAAGCACCCCAGCUGUUCCUUAUCCUAUCACAGAAAUGUCGCCUGAGUUCUGGGGAUGAACAGAACCCUAUGAAAGAAAAUGUACAGAUCUACAGACACGUGGAGCUAUUGGUGUGCUGUGCAAACUAAAAUUCACUAGAAUACCCACCUCCUAAUGUAUUUGAGUUUAUAGGAUUCAGCUGUUGGGCCCAGAAGACUGGAAUUCUAGUGAGUUACUGGAGAUAGGCUGCAAGAAGAUACCUAGCAAAACUAUUAGAGAUAUUUGAUUCAGGCUCUUGAAGAAAAAGGAUAGUGUGUAGAGAAGAAGUAUGGCUACAGUUAUGCUGAGAGCCUUGAACAGAAGGAAGAGACUCCAGCUUCUCUUCUGCCAUCCUCUCAUCACUGGACUAAUUCAAUGUGACAAACUUCCUGAGGAUGCCCACUUUGAACAAGGACAGAUGUACCAAUGUCCAAUAUUCCCAUCCCUCCAGCAAGAACUGAAGGAUUUCUUAUGGGUACUUCACUGUCAGGCUACUAAUGACAUCAGCCACAAUCUGGGCAGUGUAUUUUACACUCCACAAUUUUCGAUUCCACAUAUGAAGUCGCAUGAUAUUUGUCUGCACCAGAGGUAAC